rnacentral:rRNA from 1 species
AUGAACGCUAGCGAUAGGCUUAACACAUGCAAGUCGAGGGGCAGCACAAGGUAGCUUGCUAUCUGGGUGGCGACCGGCGCACGGGUGCGUAACGCGUAUGCAACUUGCUCUAUACAGGAGGAUAACCCGUCGAAAGACGGACUAAUACUGCGUAUGCUCACAACUUGGCAUCAAGUGGUGAGGAAAGAAAUUCGGUAUAGGAUAGGCAUGCGUCCCAUUAGCUUGUUGGUGAGGUAACGGCUCACCAAGGUAACGAUUGGUAGGGGAACGGAGAGGUUUAUCCCCCACACGGUUACUGGGACACGGACCAGACUCCUACGGGAGGCAGCAGUGAGGAAUAUUGGUCAAUGGGCGCGAGCCUGAUCCAGCCAAGUCGCGUGAAGGAUGACUGUCUUAUGGAUUGUAAACUUCUUUUAGACGGGAAUAACAAGAGUCACGUGUGACUCCCUGCAUGUACCGUAUGAAUAAGCAUCGGCUAACUCCGUG